ACAAGGCCAUUCACUAUCAAAUAACAACUGCCAAGCUUUUAGAGAUUUGGGGAAACAAACGUCUGCGCAAGACGCCGCUGCCAGAGUAACUGCUGAAGAAGCUCGGAGUAUGAGAGAAGGACGGAGCAG